rnacentral:misc_RNA from 1 species
UCUCCGUUGGUGAACCAGCGGAGGGAUCAUUACCGAGUUUACAACUCCCAAACCCAAUGUGAACCAUACCAGACUGUUGCCUCGGUGGGGUCACGCCCCGGGUGCGUCGCAGCCCCGGAACCAGGCGCCCGCCGGAGGGACCAACCAAACUCUUUCUGUAGUCCCCUCGCGGACGUUAUUUUUACAGCUCUGAGCAAAAAUUCAAAAUGAAUCAAAACUUUCAACAACGGAUCUCUUGGUUCUG